AUCAGGAGCAGUCACAAGAAUAGAGAUGAAAUUCUUGAUUUUAGCAGUUGUAUCAGCAUUAUGCUUAGCAGGUUUUGCAGAAGCUAGAACACGAUUAUGUUUUACCGAAUUUGACUGUGGCUUUAACUUAGAUGGUUGUAACUAUGUCUGUCGAUCAAAAGGUUGCAGUGGUACGAAUUCUAGAUGUGUCCGCAACGACCAAUGUUGCUGUGAUUGUCCUGAAAGCGGUGGAUAUGGAAAGUAACGAUGCAGAGCUGCAGCAAUGACGUCAGUCAUUACAGAUCUAAUACAACCUGAAAGAUUAUAAUAUUUGCUUUGUAUUUUGUUUUUUGUUAUUGCACUUUCAUCAAAUUUAAUUGUGUCAAGAAAUUCACGUUUCACAUAUAUAUGUUAAAGAUUCACAUUUUACAAAAUAAACAAGACAUGUGCUUACCU